rnacentral:lncRNA from 1 species
UCCCACAGGUGAAAUAACAGCUGGAACUUACCAGAAUUCUACUCGUCAAAGAAUCUGCAUGCAGUGGCAUAAAACUAACACAGGUGCCCCAGCAUGCUGACAAAGAAUAAAUAGAAGCACAUGUUCUGAAAGAAAUCUGUAGUUUUACAUGUCUUGCUGACUCAGGAGAGGAAAGACAUCUUUGCCUCUUAACCAGUUGUCCUCGCCACCCCCUCAGCCCCGAACUGCCGCUGGCUCUGGUAAGUUAGCAAGCAAUGCCAACAAGUGGGAAAUAAUCGAUCCUUAUACCUAACACUUUAAAUCAAAAGCAUUUAAUAAUUUUCACCAACUGUCCAAAAUAUUGCUGUUUCCGGUGGUUAAAAUGCUGUUUGUGGGGGAUACUGAGAUUAUUUAC